rnacentral:snoRNA from 1 species
UUUUAUGAUGACAAAGGGCCAUAGCGCCUGAUAUAAUCCCAGCUCUUCGAGUGCCUCAAUAAUACAACGCAGAGUGCGCACUGAGAUAAAAAACCUGCUCUGAUUU